rnacentral:rRNA from 1 species
AUUGAACGCUGGCGGCAUGCCUUACACAUGCAAGUCGAACGGCAGCACGGGAGCAAUCCUGGUGGCGAGUGGCGAACGGGUGAGUAAUGUAUCGGAACGUGCCCAGUCGUGGGGGAUAACGUAGCGAAAGUUACGCUAAUACCGCAUACGAUCUAUGGAUGAAAGCGGGUGAUCGCAAGACCUCGCGCGAUUGGAGCGGCCGAUAUCAGAUUAGGAGUUGGUGGGGUAAAGGCUCACCAAGCCGACGAUCUGUAGCUGGUCUUAGAGGACGACCAGCCACACUGGGACUUAGACACGGCCCAGACUCCUACGGGAGGCAGCAGUGGGGAAUUUUGGACAAUGGGCGCAAGCCUGAUCCA